CUACGGGGGGCUCCAGUGGGGAAUAUUGGACAAUGGGCGCAAGCCUGAUCCAGCCAUGCCGCGUGAGUGAUGAAGGCCCUAGGGUUGUAAAGCUCUUUCGCCAGGGACGAUAAUGACGGUACCUGGAUAAGAAGCCCCGGCUAACUUCGUGCCAGCAGCCGCGGUAAUACGAAGGGGGCUAGCGUUGUUCGGAAUCACUGGGCGUAAAGCGUAUGCAGGCGGAUCGUUAAGUCGGGGGUGAAAUCCCGAGGCUCAACCUCGGAACUGCCUUCGAUACUGGCGAUCUUCGAGUCCGGGAGAGGUGAGUGGAACUGCGAGUGUAGAGGUGAAAUUCGUAGAUAUUCGCAAGAACACCAGUGGCGAAGGCGGCUCACUGGCCCGGUACUGACGCUGAGAUACGAAAGCGUGGGGAGCAAACAGGAUUAGAUACCCUAGUAGUC
rnacentral:rRNA from 1 species